GUGGCCGUAGCUCAACUGGUUAGAGCGCCAGGUUGUGGUCCUGGAGGCUGGGGGUUCAAGUCCCCUCGGUCACC
rnacentral:tRNA from 1 species